CGCGAGGAAAAAAGUUCCCGGGCGGCCUGGCUGCGCUCGCUCGCGGCCCCGAGCGCCAGGUGGACCGUGCGCGCCCCGACAGCACCCCCUGGCGGUCCGAGCGCCCCACUGCAGCCCCCCCCGCCCGCGCUCCGGCCGGGGUUGGGGGUGGGGUCUGGCGCAGCCCUGAACGACUCUCACGGGCCCGCCUCGAAGCUGGGGACCCGGGGCCACAGUAGAGCUGAGGAUUUGGGCUCAAAUCCUGCCAUCAGAUGCUUCCAGUCAAUUUCAAAACUCCCUCAGGUGGGUGCCCACUGCCAUCUGUUUGGGAAGCUGCCCCCCACCCCACCCAGCCUCAGGACCAGAUCAGCAACCUCACUGAAGCCUGUUCCAUUGUCCUUUGCUGGAGGUAAUGUUUCCUGCCUGGGGAGAGAGACUGCAGUGGCUGAAGUCUGGAAACGGAGCAAGGUCUAUUUUGGAAUAGCAACCAGAUCUCCAGCUCUUUCACUCGUUCACCCAGCGGUGUGUCACAUUCCCCCCACCUCCCCUAUAUGUGCCCCUGUCCUUAUAGAGGACACAUGUGGCUGCAGAUGGAGUCAUCUGGAUCUGCUGAGAUCAUCUCUGCAUCUCCACAUCCUGAUCACACCUGCAAAGACUCACCCUACCUCUUGCCAUGUUAAAACUCAAUCUCCAAUGUAACAGCAUUGAAGAGUGCUGAGGAUGCCGGGGAUUUAGCUCAGUGGCCUCACAAGCGCAAGGUCCCGAGUUCGAUCCCUGGUACCAAAAGAAAGAAAGAAAGAAAGAAAAGAAAGAAAGAAAGGAAAGUGUUGAGGUCACGAGGCUCUGUCUCUGGAAUGAAUUAAUGCUGCUCUUGAUAAGGAAAUAAUGGAUAACAGGGCAGGCCUCUGUCUGUUGCCAAACCUCCCCCCUCCAUGUUUUUGCCAUAAGUUGUUCUGUUUAAGCAAUGUAACUGUUAAAGGUGCAUGAUGUUCC
rnacentral:lncRNA from 1 species